GAUGAACGCUGGCGGCGUGCCUAAUACAUGCAAGUCGAACGCUUCACUUCGGUGAAGAGUGGCGAACGGGUGAGUAAUACAUAAGUAACCUGGCAUCUACAGGGGAUAAAUGAUGGAAACGUCCACUAAGACCGCCAAGGUUUAGAAAUCGCAUGAACUUCAAAUGGAAAGUUCCACGGGACCGGUAGGUGAUGGACUUAUGGCGCAUUAGCUUGGUGGUAGGGUAACGGCCUACCAAGGCGACGAUGCGUAGCCGACCUGAGAGGGUGACCGGCCACACUGGGACUGAGACACGGCCCAGACUCCUACGGGAGGCAGCAGUAGGGAAUUUUCGGCAAUGGGGGAAACCCUGACCGAGCAACGCCGCGUGAAGGAAGAAGUAAUUCGUUAUGUAAACUUCUGUCAUAGAGGAAGAACGGUGGAUAUAGGGAAUGAUAUCCAAGUGACGGUACUCUAUAAGAAAGCCACGGCUAACUACGU
rnacentral:rRNA from 1 species